GAUGAACGCUAGCGGCAGGCCUAAUACAUGCAAGUCGGACGGGAUUCAGGAGCUUGCUUCUGAUGAGAGUGGCGCACGGGUGCGUAACACGUAUGUAACCUACCUUUAUCAGGGGGAUAGCCUCUCGAAAGAGAGAUUAAGCCCGCAUAAAAUCACAGCACAGCAUUGUGUAAUGAUCAAAUAUUUAUAGGAUAAAGAUGGGCAUGCGGAACAUUAGCUAGAUGGCGGGGUAACGGCCCACCAUGGCGACGAUGUUUAGGGGAUCUGAGAGGAUGGCCCCCCACACUGGUACUGAGACACGGACCAGACUCCUACGGGAGGCAGCAGUAAGGAAUAUUGGUCAAUGGGCGGAAGCCUGAACCAGCCAUGCCGCGUGCAGGAAGACGGCCCUACGGGUUGUAAACUGCUUUUAUACGGGAAUAAACCCAGAUACGUGUACCUGGCUGAAUGUACUGUAAGAAUAAGGAUCGGCUAACUCCGUG
rnacentral:rRNA from 1 species